AGAUCACUACGGUGACUUGUAAGCAACUCACUGUACUUUAGUACCAGACCAUUUGAGUUUUUAACUUAAUAAUGAAAGGAUACUGGGUGUAGUCUAGUACUUAUCAAGUCGGUGUUUGAGUCAAGAUAAAAUUGACCCUUUUGAAUUGGUAGGAGAUAUGCAUCAGUAUAUUUCAAUUUAGCAAAAUCUUGGCUAGGAUAAUCCAUGAGAUGGAUUUGAAAUAUUGAAAUAUAAUGUGGUUGACUUAAUUAGGGU
rnacentral:lncRNA from 1 species